CAGCCACACUGGAAMUGAGRCACGGUCCAGACUCCUACGGGAGGCAGCAGUGGGGAAUUUURCGCAAUGGGCGAAAGCCWRACGCAGCAACGCCKCGUGAGUGWUGAAGGCUUUCGGGUYGUAAAGCUCUGUCAAUGGGAAAGAAGUGUAUUUUGGCUAAUAUCSUUAAUACUUGACGGUACCCAUAAAGGAAGCACCGGCUAACUCCGUGCCAGCAGCCGCGGUAAUAC
rnacentral:rRNA from 1 species